ensembl:lncRNA
CAAGAAGUUGCCUUUUUGGUGGGAAUAGGUGGGAUAAAGCAGAAAUGGAGCUCAGCAAGCAUCUGGGAGGGUAGAAAUGUCUCUUCAAGACAGCACCUCACAGCAUUCACCACAUCUUAAUUGCAUAUCUGUGGUGCUUGAAAGUGAGGAAGCUCUUCAGUAGAAGAGCAUUUAUUUUGUGUUUCAGUGAUUCCAGAAUCAGCUGAUGUGUAGGCAAAAAAGGAGAGUACUCAGCUCAGCCAUGCUAGAUGAAUGUGUUUCUGAUUGUGCUACAGCCAGUACACAAGAGAUGCUAAUGUGGGAUGUCCACUGUGCAUCUCCAAGAUGCCUUCAGAGCCAGAGAGGGAAUCCAAAACUCCAGACUUUCCUUCCUUUGUGUUGGCCAUGGAGUACCUCUGCAGAAAGCUGGAAUAAAAGGGGACAAAACAACCCAGCUGGGGGAAGAUGGUGUUAUUCACGAGGCACAAUCUGUGGCAGGAGCUACAGCCUUUUGUAAGCCAGCUAAAGUGCAGAUGUUGCUGUUUAAUCUAUCUUGUGCUUGGUAUCUGCCCUUUCAAGUGAUGGAUUUUACCUUCUGUGCUGUAGCUGUGACUGCCAUAACAUGUAAGACCUGUAAGGAGAGGCAAAACCAUUUGGCUUAAUGUAAGGUAACUUCCUUUCUGACAGACACUCUAUUGCUUGUGUUCCUAGACCGGCAGGACUAAAAUGACACUAAUUCUUUGUUAUUAGCAAUACUGCAGUUACUUCUUCAUUAAAUAAGAGGUGGCUGAAGGCCACGGGACUUUUGCUCAGAUUUGCUCCGCGAUCCAGUGGUUGAUUUUUCUUCCUACUCAGAAUACUUAUUCACAUUUGAGCAAAUAAUGGAUGAGCAAGCCUGAGAAAAAUGAGCUAAUCUAAAACAUCAGUUCAAGACUGUUAGUGUAUUCAGGACAUUUUGUUUAAUGUUUUUGUUAACGUAAGCAAUUGUAUUUCCAGUAUGAAUGGCAAAAGUGCUGAAAUCUUUCAUAAAAGCCUGCUCAGUCACUCCACCACUUUCUAUGAGGCUAAGUUAAGACUUUCCUUCUUUCAAAGGCUGAUGUGCUCAGCUCACUACUGAAAGGCUCUUUCUGAAUUAAUCUCUGUAGUUCUGUUACUUAGACUUACAAUACUCAUAUCACCAUCUGUGUUGGUGCAGAAUAUGAACCUGUAUGUAACACCUAUUAUCUGCUCCUUUAUGUAAUCUGUCACUGAAAUCAGCAAAAAGCUUAGAACCAGACCGUGGUUUAUUUUAAUAGUGGGAAGAUAGUGUUGAGAGAGUUUUUAUGAUGGCAAACAAUGUUAUUAUCUAGCUUUCUAUCAAUUAUUCUAAACAUACCGAGUUUCUUCAUGUCCCAGAGAGUGUCUGUAGUCUAGUCUGAUUCCUUUUCUUCACUUAAUCACCCAAGCAUUGACAUUUGAAGAAUAACAUUUUUGAUAAAUCAGACGGAGUGGAAAUGCAGCUUUUUAAACUUUGGCAUUCUUCUGUUGUGCCUGCUACAAAUUGUUCAAGGCGGUCGUUGAGCUGCUCUUAUCCUUUGAUUUACCUGCUGCUUUGCCCUCCGGUACAUUUUUAAUUAUUCCUACAAGAAGCAUUUGUAUCUAAGUCAUCAAGCCAUGGAACACUCAUGUAAGUUCCUCGUGACCUUCCUAGCUGGUGAGGUGCCCUGUCCAACCACUUCAUACUUGUUGCAGUGCAAAAGAGUGUUCUCAGUACUCGCAUUAGGCGAGUUUUUUGAAGCAGGUCUGGGUGCUCCUUUGGGUCAUUUUUCUAGGCAAAUUGAAUCUCUGCUCCCAGUCCAUUCAUCCUAGGGGAGUUAAACAUUUUUCCUAAUUCUGCCGUGGAACCCUGAAGGUUUUUGGUUUUCUUUGCCUUCAGGCUGCACCACCAAGACAACUAGCCAGGCUAGUUCUUGUAACUCGGUCAACAUUCCAGAGAAAAAGUCUAAGAGGAACUCUGCUAAUUGUGCUUACGCAUUUGCUUCUACGUGAUUAUGUUCAGCUUGUUACUGAUCUCUAGGAACUGUCAAGCCUCAUUAACUAAUCAUACCUUCAGUGAGAAAAUUGAGUCUGACAGCUUCAUGGACAUAAAUGCCCUCUAGUGACUGGUGAUCACUGUAAAGAGCUGUAUUAUGUGUAGACUGUGUGCAUUCUUUGAUAUGCAUCUUAUAUAGCUGUCUUAAAGAGUUACUUAGCAGGACCUUUGGCCCCUUAUGAUACUGGACUGUUAUGGGGAACUUUAUUAAUGUUUGCUUUUUGAGAAAAUAUUCACUGUUUAUUCUUUUCAGCUCUAUACUAAAUGAAAGCUACUUUAUGAUUGAAACCACGGAUACUUUGUUAAGCUUUCCGUUUUUCCUUUUCUCAUAUGGAGCAGGUCCAUUUGUACUGAGUUGCCUGGUCUAAUUGUUUUUCUUUUUACAGCUGGGGUAGCUUUGUUCUCUCUAAUGAUUGGGAGAAAUGGGAAGGGGAGGACUGGGACUGCAUGGUUGUAUUCCCAGCUCUCACUGUGAAAUGACUUUUACAAGUAGAGCAUUUCUUAAACAAAUAAAUGCUUGACUCAUUAAUUCCA